rnacentral:misc_RNA from 1 species
GUGAGUCAUCGAAUCUUUGAACGCACAUUGCGCUUCCUGGUAUUCCGGGGAGCAUGCCCGUUUCAGAAUCAUUUAAAUCUCACUUGCCUGCUGGGCCCCUACCCCUGUGGUGGAAACCCGGAAGAAAGUGGAUCUGGAUAUAUUGUAACAUUUUCUUUGCAAUUGUCUAAAUAUGAUUGUAUGUGCUCCAAUAGGAACAUCUAUUGGCUCUCCAAAGUGCAACAGAUACAUCUAUUUCUCUUUGGUGGGCCUUUUGUCAUUCCUGUUGUUGGGCGUGUCUACAAGUCUUUGACAGGCGGU